UCGCACCUACGGGACGCAGCAGUCGGGAAUAUUGCGCAAUGGAGGAAACUCUGACGCAGUGACGCCGCGUAUAAGAAGAAGGUUUUCGGAUUGUAAACUAUUGUCGUUAGGGAAGAUAAAAGACUGUACCUAAGGAGGAAGCCCCGGCUAACUAUGUGCCAGCAGCCGCGGUAAUACAUAGGGGGCAAGCGUUAUCCGGAAUUAUUGGGUGUAAAGGGUGAGUAGACGGAAGAACAGGUUGGUUGUGAAAU
rnacentral:rRNA from 1 species